CUGUAUCUAUGUCUGUUACUUUUGUCUUGAUUGUGUGCAAGUGCUUGAUUGGGUGUGUGCUUGUGUGACCAUGCGUGUAUUGCAUUUGCUUGACGGUGUGGUUUGUAUAACUUGUGUUUUAUAUGUCAGGAUUGAUUGUUGUUUGUUGAAUUUGAACAGAUAUAACACUAUUCUUUUUUCUAAACUUUUUUGUGAUUAUGUCUUAUGUGGAUACCAUACUCUUUUUUGUAAUAUUGUUGUCCAAUCACUGGAAUAACGCUUUUCUAAGUAUUUAAGGUACAGCCAUGUAGAUCUAGACAUGAUGCUGAUGGGUUAGGUUUGCAUACAAUGCAGGUAUAUUUACGUUCUUUACAUUUUGCGACAGUCCCAAAACUUUUAUUUAGCCAAAUUUUGCUAAUUCUGUUUUUAGAUGCGCUGUAUCCAUAACUACCUAUUGGCACCUGAUAUUUGUGCUCAAAAAAUGCAAUAUGGACCAACAAAAUGGUCUCAAGAGAGGUACUCUUUUGAUUGUUUUAUUUUUAUGGUUUAUGGAUUGUAUUUUGCAUUUCCCCCUUUGUGCAAGACAAACAGGGAAUGUGUACUAAUCUAGAAACACACUGGUUAUGUGAAGAUCUGAUUGGUAAAUAUUAAGCUGAUUUUGAAUUCAUACAUACAGAGAGAAGCUUGGACUAUUGAGGAGGAACAUGCACUGAUUAAUGCCUAUCGGGUAUAUGGGAAUAGAUGGGCAGAAAUAGCAAAAGUUCUUUCUAGAAGGAAUCGGGUACUUCUAUUUGUUCUUAGGUUCUUCUCACCUAUAGCUAAAGUCAGAGGCAACAAAAUCAAGUGGAUUAUUGGAGUUACAAGAUACACAAAAUCAUCGGUCAUCUAAAUCUUCUUUUCUAAUAUGAUUGUUGGUGCUGCUCAUGAGGCUAGCCACCGGCUUGGAAGUGAUGAGAGGCAAUCACUGUUGUCAACUUGAAAUGUAUAAUUUUUUAGGAACGAAGAUCUGAAUCACCCUCACGCCUCGAGAGAAAUCAAUCUAGUCAUUCAGGUUCUGGUAUUUCUUUAUAGCUUUCUGAGUUUACUUCGGUCUUUCAUGUAUUUGCUUUCUGUUUGUGCCCC